UCCCCCUGCAGUAUCCUCAGGUAAGCCUCAGCCCAAACUGGAUUUGUAACCUGGACCAGUGACUGCUAGGGGCUUCGCAUUAGGCAUCCACGCUCAUUUGCCUGUGUACAUGUGUCUGUGUGUGUGUCUGUCCAUGCAGAGGGGGAUCUGCAGUGUCUGGGUGGUGGGGCCACACCAAGACCUCUUGGUCAGAGUUCAUCAGGCUCUAGAAUUGGAGCUUAUAAGGUGCUCAGUUCUGUCCCUGCUGCAGUACCCCUUCCAGUCCUGAAUCCCAUCCUGCCGCUCCCCCCAGCACUGCCCCCAGUACUCUAGCUCUUGCCUAGGAAGCCAUGUGUAUCCAUCUGUGAGUUCUGCUCUUUUCUGUGUCCUGAGAAUGGAGGACCCCUAGGGACAGGAGCUGAAAAUCUCUGUCAUGCCACAGGCUUCCUGAGUGUACCUGGGAGGGCGGGAGGCCACCUCACCCACUCCUGGCCCCCGAAGGAGCUCUAGUUCACUGAGGGCAUGCAGAACUCUCCAGUUAGGUGGAUCCUGGAGGACGCCCAGGGGAUGACCUACUUUGCUGUCGACCCAGGGCCUUGGCUGCCCAGACAAAGGGUGUCAGCUCUUAUCCUGAACCCUUCUCAUUGGGGGAUCCACCUCCAUCAGUCGUGUGUGCAACUGGAUUCCACUGGGCUAGGCGUGGCUGAUGCCCCCACCCACUGGAAAUGGCACCUUUCAAGGGACAAGCUGGGCCCUGCCCUGGCCUGGCCCCUCUCCACCUCGACUUUGGGAACCUUCAGAACCUGGCCUGAGAAUCUCUUGUGGGAAGGAGCCCUGGCAUAUGCCCAGGAUUGCUGCCAUACCAGGGCAAACUCAGUUGCUCCCCUCUGGGGCUCACUGUACUGUGAAUCCCCUUGACUGUGGUCCCAGGAAAAAAGGAAACUGGGGCAGGAAGGGUCGCAUGCAAAACCUAUGCGCCUGGGCCUCACCAUUCAUGGUCUAAGUCCUGCCGUCUGGCUGUGUCCCAACUGGGUCAGGGGCAGGUUCUCACCUGGGAGGGGUAAAUGGCUUCUGGGCGGGUGCUGGCCUCCAUUUGUUUGUGAGUCUGUGCCUGCCAGUUUCUGAGGAAUUAAUUCUGUCAUUCAGGAAGAGGUCUCUGCUUAGUUUUAAGCACAUGAUGCUGGACCCUAAGGGGUGGGAGUGGGAACAAGACAUGCAGUCCCCACUCCUAGGUGAAGAGACACUGCAAAGAGGCUGACAGGGCAGAGACUGCCCAGCUGGUGUCCUGAUAUAACCCCUGGAGCUUCCUGCAUUUCUCACUCCUAAGAGUGGUUUCCCCAGCCUUGGACUUUUCUAGUCUGUUAGUCUCGUGCACAUAGAAGUCCUCACUCUUCUGCUGGCUGCCGAUCUCAGCAUCUAACACACCAUCUGAUGUCACAGUAAGGGCUCUGUCAUCCUGACCCUUUGUCGCACUGGGUCGCUGCUGGGUCCUCGUGAGUAACUUCCGAGAGCAUCCCUCCUCUCUGUGAACCAUGGACGUAUUUCCAUAAAGACAAGAAGGUCUUGAUUUACAGGCCGUGAUCCCCAAGAAGAUAUUUCUAAUCUUCCAAGGAAGGGAGACCCACAGCUGACACAGCCUCUCACUCCUGUGUGACUUCCUCCCUGUCUUGUGGUGUGAAAGGGGUUCUUCUGCCAAGGUGAGCCAAGAAGACCCUCGGCGCCAUCUGCCCCAUUCAUAGGUACUGCGGUACUGAUGACACCUAUGGCUCAUCACAGCCCCAUGCUAUGGACCCCCCCUCACUCCCCACUGUGCCCAGAGGAGGCAACCCAUCCGACUGUGUCCCUCAUCCUGCAAGCAGCACACCUUAAGAUGAAGGCAAGGGUGGGAGACCUUUUUUGCUGCCACACCUCAAUGCACAGCCUGCAUCUAGUUGGAUCAGUGAUGCUGUCUUUGCCUAGGACGGCCAUGCUAUCAAGGACGCCAGUGCAGAGCAGGCUUAGAGAAGCCUUAGGUGAGUGGCAGACUUCCUGGCCUGCAACCGCAUCUGUGACAUCAGGACCUUCUGCUCUGUCAUCUGUGGGGCUGUCGUCCUAAGCCAUUCAUACUUUUAGAGACAGUGGUCGCACAGGGGGUGUCCCAUAUCGCAUGUCUGCAGGACACUUCGCAUGUUUUGUGUUCUCUCGACAGCUUGGGGAGCUGGGUAUCGCUGCAUGCAGAGAGCAAAUGCACGUCCCACCGUUUGGGUUCCCAGCAGUAGGGCCAAGCCAGCCAGGGGUUGUGGGACACAGCCAAGUGCUCUUUGAGUCUUGCUCUCAGUGUUAUUACCGAUCAGGGACAUAAACCCGGCUGUGCUUAGGAGCCCUCUGUGAAGCACUUCCAGCAUGCAGAUUCCUGGUCCCUGGGUAAGACCCAUGGAGUCAUGAUCUCCAGGGAGUGGGCAUCAUUAAACAGCCCCCGGGAGCUUCUGCUGACCUGGGGGCCGCAGUCCCCAGUGUUCUGGGGGCAGCACGGAACUGGAGUCAGCCUGUAGAACACUCUAGCGAUUGCGUUUCCAUAGCCUUCCCACCUCCUCCCUACCCCUCCCCGGGUCUGCUCAGACAACUGAAAAUUCUGAGGAGUAGGCAGCUCAAAACCACAGCCCUUCCCCUGGGCACCUACAUCCCGUCUUCCCUUUGUGUUGAUGAACUUUUUGGAAUUGAAAUGCUUUUAGCUGGAGAACUCAUUACUCCACAAGGCAGCCUAUUUCUUUUUAAAUUGUUUUCUUUGUCAGAAAUUUUUCUCUGAUAAAUACUUGUGAACAAAUAAUAAAGACAUAAUUAUAAUGCCUCAGAAAAGCAAUUCUUGGCAUGUAGUUGGUACUUAUUUAUUUUUGAAUGAAUGAAUUACCAAUAAAAUGUCACUUGGCUUGAUUAUAGAUAUUCAUUUUACAAAUGAGAGUGUAAGUUUCAGAUCAGUCAUCUUUCUGUAUCCAUAGAGUUAAAACUAUGGCAGAAUUGGACUAGAUAAGGUAACUGAUGUCCUAUCUAGUGUUCAUGCUUGGGGGAGGGCGAGGGCAGAGGGGGUGCCAGGCGGGACCCCUCCCGCACGCCGCAGGGCUGCUAAGUGUCUCCUGUCUGCAGAUGGCCUACCUGCCCACCCAGGCCCUUCACUCACGACCUCACAUGUUUGCCGUGUGGCUUCUCUGUGCCCUAGCUGCUCAUCAGCAAAGCAGCAAUAAAGCUACAUUUACCUCCUAAAGCUGCUGUAAGGAUUAAAAGAGCGACACGUGCACAGUGACUGGGAGAUGUGUGCGCCGUGAGCGCCGCACACUGCUGGUCGUUGUCACUCUCUGUGGCUGAGCUGUUGUUAGGCUGGUCCAGUGUCCUUCAGGGAUGCGAGCCUGUGUUUCUCUCUCUCCAGAGGUUUACAAAUACCCAUGAAUGCCAAGAGAAUAUGUCUGUGACUGGGAGAAGCUGGUUUCACAACUCUCCCCGCCCCCCGUGCACCAGCUCCUACGAGUUCGCCGUGAGACAGGCUGGCUUGGGCCGCAGCCGUGAGAGUGGGUACUGAGGCAGACCAGGCAAACUGGAGUCCCUCAUUUGGGGAGUGGUCGUCACUUAUCGGGGUUAUUAAAUUUAGUGAUAAUGGUGAAAGUUUACCAAACAAUCAUUCACCUGUUGCCUGAGAGCAAACAGACUAGGCUUAGAGAAACAGGUGGCUGCUUCCGGUGUUGACCCAGGCAGGGGCUGGGUUGGCCUGGGGCUAGGGUACCAGUCAUGUCCACGCCUCCCGCCCUCAGAGGUAGAGGCAGCGGUCAGAGCACCUACAUCAGAAGAAGGCUGGAGACACCUAGAGGCCCCUGUAGGGAGGACACACUGAGGCUCAGGGAGCACGAAUGGGAUCAGUGAGAAACCAGGGUCCUGAGAGGACUGGCAGAACUGCCACAGAGAGAGAAAUCUAGGGGUCAGCCAUGUGUGUGCAUGUGUGCAUGUGUGCAUGUGUGUGGUGAAGCACCAGAAACCCUCAUUUUUCUCAAGCAUCAUUUCCCAAAAAAUAACAUAGAUUAGGAUCAUGUCCCCCAUUCCUUGCCUACCUCCCCCUUAUUCAUACUACAAUUGGCUACCUCUGUAACUUCAAUACUAGAACUAAAACUGUAUUUCUUCACCUGCCAUGUUAGGCUGUAUUUCUUGACUUUCCACUAAAUAAAAGAGGCAAUUAGCACCACAUAGUUUCUUUUACCUUAGUGUGAUUUUAUUCUAAUAUUUUAUUUGUGAGAACUUCAUAGGAAUAAAAAAAAACAAUGACAUUUCAUUACUAUUUGUGCUAUAUCACGAAGUGUGUGGUAUCUAGUAACAAUAUACAGUCUUAUCUAACAAUAAACAAUAUACAGUGUUACAGACACUGUAAACCAAUAGCUGCUGAGUAGGUGUUAGACCAUAGGCCUCUGACCUUUUUUGGCUCAGCACCCACUUUUUCAAGGGUUGAUUUGAUGACACCCUCUUAGGUGAAUUAUAUAUUAUUCUAUAUAUAAAACAAGGGCAUAUAUUUUUUCAAAUUAUUUUAUUAAAAGAAAUUAACAAUAUUAAUGUAUUACUCAAAGUAUAAUUAAAAUUUUAAAAAUUAAAGAAGUAUAUAUUACUUUUUAAAAUUAAUGAUAUCUUUAUUAGUGAGAGGGUUGAGCUUGGUUAGACGACAUUAAUUUUUCGAUGUCUGGUGUCACUUUUGCAUUCAGCCCUCUUAAAUUGCCACAUUUCACUUUUGACAAUUUGUUUCUUUUCUU